UGGGAGACUGUUGGAGGUAUGCCCUAGAGACAAUCAUAGAGAUGAUGAUAUUCCAUUUGUAUCCAUGAUUUAUGUUGUGUUCCUUGAAUAUCCAUUAAAGGCUACUUGAAUUUGAUUUGCAAUUAUGUGAAUUGUGUGUGAAACUCUUUACUUGUAUAGUUAUUCUAAAAUUGUCCCUAGUUGGAGUUCAUGUGAGGACACACAUAAAUAUUAGACUAGCACAUGUAUUAG
rnacentral:lncRNA from 1 species